UUUACUAUAACCAUAACCAAACCAAAUAUUAUCGGUUUUUCAAAUUUAAAACCAAACCAAACCAAACUAAACCAAAUGUCGGUUAUUUUAUUCGGUUUGAUUAAAUUUUCGGUUUGAUUUUGAUUUUAACCAAAACUGUGAACAGCCCUAAUCAUUACUCUUCUGUUCUCAAUACUCAAUCAGUUGGGAUAAAUGUGCAAAUCCUAAUACCAAAGCUAUACAACCUAGAAAAAAAAUUCCAAAUACUAACCUAUACUUUUCAUAUACGAUACGAACCAAUACUUUUCAUAUACAGUAUUUGUAAACUCCCCAUUUCUUAUUGGUCAUCAAAUAGGUGUGUAUAACGUCCAAUUUUUUUUAUUCUACUGGUCAUCAAAAAGGUGACUGUCAGAACCCUACACUGUUAAGAAGAAGGAGAGAAGUAGAAUUAUAAAUACCCAUCAGAACACGUCGUUGCCAUAACCUCUUCUCCAAACACACCACCGUCUCCUUCUCCACCAAAACCAUCAAAUUUUCACUAAUCUUUCUUCCAAAAUGUCUGACGGGAGCCGUUCAUCUAACACAAGGGGCAACGUAAAAUGUUAUUGUGGCUUCAUUGCUAAAAACUUUGUUUCAACAACUACAAGUAACUAACCGAAGGAAAUUCUACAAAUGUCCGAGGUCCAAGGCCAGCUCAUGCGGAAUUUGGGAAUGGGAAGAUCAUUUGUUCGCGGAAUGGGACUAAUGUUCAAGAUUUAGGGUCGUUGUUGAAUGUGGCUAACAACGAAAGGGACAAAUUGAAAGAAGAAUUAAUUGCCAUUGAGGCUAGACACCUCCAACAAUUGAACAAAAUCAAGGAAGAAUUAUUUGCCUCAGAGAGUAGACACCAAUAUGAAGUGGAAAAAAUCAUAAAGUUGGAGGAGAAACUUGCGAAUACGAGAAUGUUGGUUUUGAUUUCAUGGGGAAUUUUUAUUGGAUUUGUGGUUGCGUUUAUGAUGAAGUGAAUUUCAUGUUGACCUUUUUGUUGUGUUUUGCUAUGAUCUUGUAAUCUUGUAGUUGAUUUUUAGGUAAUUAAGAACUAUAAUUAAUACUUGUAAUCUAAUUGUCAUGGAUGAUGGUUGUAUGAAGUAUUUUGUA